rnacentral:rRNA from 1 species
CAGUAGCCGCGGGAAUACGGAGGGUGCAAGCGUUAUCCGGAUUUAUUGGGCGUAAAGCGUACGUAGGCGGCUUUGUAAGUUAGAGGUGAAAGCCUGGUGCUCAACACCAGAACUGCCUUUAAGACUGCAUCGCUUGAACGUCGGAGAGGUGAGUGGAAUUCCGAGUGUAGAGGUGAAAUUCGUAGAUAUUCGGAAGAACACCAGUGGCGAAGGCGGCUCACUGGACGACUGUUGACGCUGAGGUACGAAAGCGUGGGGAGCAAACAGGAUUAGAGACCCGCGUAGUCCCUGUCUCUUAUAC